GAUGAACGCUGGCGGCGUGCCUAAUACAUGCAAGUCGAGCGAACAGACGAGGAGCUUGCUCCUCUGACGUUAGCGGCGGACGGGUGAGUAACACGUGGAUAACCUACCUAUAAGACUGGGAUAACUUCGGGAAACCGGAGCUAAUACCGGAUAACAUGUUGAACCGCAUGGUUCAACAGUGAAAGACGGAUUUGCUGUCACUUAUAGAUGGAUCCGCGUCGCAUUAGCUAGUUGGUAAGGUAACGGCUUACCAAGGCAACGAUGCGUAGCCGACCUGAGAGGGUGAUCGGCCACACUGGAACUGAGACACGGUCCAGACUCCUACGGGAGGCAGCAGUAGGGAAUCUUCCGCAAUGGGCGAAAGCCUGACGGAGCAACGCCGCGUGAGUGAAGAAGGUCUUCGGAUCGUAAAACUCUGUUAUUAGGGAAGAACAAAUGUGUAAGUAACUAUGCACGUCUUGACGGUACCUAAUCAGAAAGCCACGGCUAACUACGUG
rnacentral:rRNA from 1 species